CUACUGCUUUUUGGGGGAGUGGAAAGUCCCGGUUUCGUCGCCGGAUCACGAGUAAACUCCCUUUCUCCACCCUUGUCUUUUGAGUACUUAUGUUUCCUUGGUGGGCUUGCCUGCCAAUAGGACAACCAAACAACCUUUUUAAUUUUUAUUCAGCGUCUAAAUAAUUUUAAUAAUUACAACUUUCAACAACGGAUCUCUUGGUUCUGGCAUCGAUGAAGAACGCAGCGAAAUGCGAUAAGUAGUGUGAAUUGCAGAAUUCAGUGAAUCAUCGAAUCUUUGAACGCACAUUGCGCCCCUUGGUAUUCCAUGGGGCAUGCCUGUUCGAGCGUCAUUUGUACCUUCAAGCUAUGCUUGGUUGUUGGGUGUUUGUCCUCUCAUUACGUUUGGACUCGCCUUAAAACAAUUGGCAGCCAUUAUAUUGGUAUUGGAGCGCAGCACAAAUUGCAGUUCCAGCUAAACAAUAGUGGCAUCCAUUAAGUACUUUUAACACUUUUGACCUCGGAUCAGGUAGGGAUACCCGCUGAACUUAAGCAUAUCAAUAAGCGGA
rnacentral:rRNA from 1 species